rnacentral:rRNA from 1 species
GAUGAACGCUGGCGGCGUGCCUAAUACAUGCAAGUCGAGCGAACAGACGAGGAGCUUGCUCCUCUGACGUUAGCGGCGGACGGGUGAGUAACACGUGGAUAACCUACCUAUAAGACUGGGAUAACUUCGGGAAACCGGAGCUAAUACCGGAUAAUAUAUUGAACCGCAUGGUUCAAUAGUGAAAGACGGUUUUGCUGUCACUUAUAGAUGGAUCCGCGCCGCAUUAGCUAGUUGGUAAGGUAACGGCUUACCAAGGCAACGAUGCGUAGCCGACCUGAGAGGGUGAUCGGCCACACUGGAACUGAAACACGGUCCAGACUACUACGGGAGGCAGCAGUAGGGAAUCUUCCGCAAAGGGCGAAAGCCUGACGGAGCAACGCCGAGUGAGUGAUGACGGUCUUCGGAUCGUAAAACUCUGUUAUUAGGGAAGAACAAAUGUGUAAGUAACUACGCACGUCUUGACGGUACCUAAUCAGAAAGCCACGGCUAACUACGUG